rfam:Camelus ferus unplaced genomic scaffold scaffold15685, whole genome shotgun sequence.
GAGGGUAUAGCUCAGUGGGAGAGCGCAUGCUCAGCAGGCACGAGGUCCUGGAUUCAAUCCCCAGUACCCCA